CCUACGGGUGGCAGCAGUGGGGAAUAUUGCUCAAUGGGGGAAACCCUGAAGCAGCAAUGCCGCGUGUAGGAUGAAGGUUUUCGGGUUGUAAACUCCUUUUGUUAGGGAGGAUAAUGACGGUAUCUAUCAACUAAGCACCGGCUAACUCCGGGCCAGCAGCCGCGGUAAUACGGAGGGUGCAAGCGUUACUCGGAAUUACUGGGCGUAAAGAGCGCGGAGGCGGGUGAGCAAGUCAGAUGUGAAAUCCCAGGGCUCAACCAUAGAACUGCAUUUGAUACUGUCAUUCUAGAGUAUGGGAGAGGUAGGUAGAAUUCCUGGUGUAGGGGUAAAAUCCGUAGAGAUCAAGAGGAAUACUCAUGGCGAAGGCGACCUGCUAGACCAUGACUGACGCUGAUGCGCGAAAGCGUGGGGAGCAAACAGGAUUAGAUACCCGGGUAGUC
rnacentral:rRNA from 1 species